GACCCAGCGGGACCUGGCUCAGCCCUGCCAGGCCGCGCUCAAAAGUCACAGAAUCGAUUAGGUUGGAAAAGACCUCUGGGAACAUCGGGUCCAACCCAUGACCGAACACCGCGGUGUCAGACCGUGGCACUGAGUGCCACGUCCAGCCUUCCCUUGAACACCUCCAGGGGCAGUGGCACCACCGCCUCCCUGGGCAGCCCGUUCCAAUGUGUAAUGACCCUUUCUGUGAAGGAAUUCCGCCUAAUGUCCAGCCUUAACUUCUCCUGGCGCAGCGUCACAGUGUGUGUCCUCUUGUCCUGUCACUGGUUAACUUGGAGAAGAGACCAACCCCGAGCCUAGCCACAAGCUCCUUUCAGGUAGCUGUAGAGAGUGAUAAGGUCACCCCUGAGCCUCUUUUUCUCACGCCAAACAACCCCAGCUCCCCCAGCCACUCCUCAUGAGACUCCUGCUCCAGACCCUCCAGCAACUUUGUUGCCCUUCUCUGGGCAUCUCGGUUCACCUCAACCUGACUUUUCCCAGCCUGGCUGGGUUCAGCCCAGCCUGGCUCAGCUUGGUUUGGUUCAGCCCAGGGCAGCCUGGCUCGGUGCAGCUCCUCAUCGUGGCUGAUGAGACCCAUAGGAAGUGUUUCCAUACCGUGAUGCCGUGUGCCAGUGAGUGGCUGGCAGCUGGUCAGUGGGAGAAGCCCAGAGAGCCAGUGCUGUCCCCGCAGCAGCACGUCCCGAGGUUCAGGAGCAGAAGUGGCAACUCGGAGAGAAAUCUGUGGACUGCUAGUAUUGAGAUGGAGGCAAGAGGUGAUGAAAGCUUUGAGGUCUUCUCCUCAGCGAGAAGCAGCAUGUCCUUUGGAGGAGUACCUGACUUAAGUUGAAGAGACUGUGAAGGAAACCUCCAUAUCCAUGGCAGUCAUUUGUAGGGGUGGAGGAGACUGCCUUCCAUUACAACAGAAGGAAUCUGUAAUUUACUCUUGGAAUAGACAGAAAUAAAUUCUAACAUAUUUCUGAGACA
ensembl:lncRNA